CCCUGAGGUAUAUGGUGUCUUAGUUCCCCAACCAGGGAUCGCACUUGCACCCCCUGCAUUGGAAGGCAAACUCUUAACCACUGAACUGCCAUGGAAGUUCCUGUUUGUUUUUAAAGUAUGAAAAAGUAUAAAACUAGCAUAUACACAAGCUAUCUAGUAUUGAUCAUUUUAGGAUCAUUCUUAAGAUUUUAAAUAAAAUACUAUAAACAAAGACAUACUUGAAUCAAUCACCUUGCCCAUUCCCCUCCCUAAGAAAUUAUGAGUUCAGUGUUGCCUUUUCUGUUUAUUUUUAUACUUAGGUAUUCAUAAACAAAAUAUAGUCAUUCAGAUGUUGAAAUCUGACACUUAUUUCAUUGGACUUUAUGCUUUGGGAUAGUCUUCUCUUAAUAGAUAAACUUAGUAUCUCUAUGUUUAUUAUCCUGGCAUGUAUAUUCCUGUCAUUGCAGUUGUUGGAGGAUGCAGGAACAAAUCUUGUCUUUCCUCCUUGUUCUUACAUUUAAAGCAGAUUUUAUCUUCCCCCGACCCCCCAACACACACACCCAUGACCAAAAGGUAAUGUUUCUAUCAUUCUGUUAUCAUCCUUAAUCUUACAAUGUACCUACACAUGAGAGCAUAUUGAUACUGAUAUUUAUAAAAUGGUCAAUUAGCUCAGUUUUUUCCUGAAUAAAACAAGUAUAUUUUUAUUUCCCUUCAAACUAUCUUUUCUGACCUAUUUUCCAUGUUAAUGUUAAAUAUUUGUUAUAACUUAUUUUUAAAACUCGUUAUUUUAAACAUGACUUACUGAUUUACUUGAUAAGUUUUGUCUAUUUACUUACUGUUUCUUGUUGAAUACUUCAAGAUGUUUUUGUACCAGAGUUUUCAGUGAAAAUCUAUGAACAGUAAGUUUUCUCUUUGUGGGCUGAAUGUCUUUUUUCCACACUGAUUUUAGAAAGCUAAAUUGUCUGGGUUUAGAAUUGUAGGUUCCCAGUUAUCUUUCUGUCGCAUCCUGUAGGUAUUCCAUUGUGUUCUGACAUCUUUUAUUGCUGAAGAAAGUUGGGUGUCAUUUUGAUUAUUUCUUUGAAGGAUGUACAUUUUUCCCUCUAAUAACUUCUGAGUUUCACUAAAAUCUAUCUAGGUGUGGAUUAAUUUCUAUUUGCUUUGCUUGGGAUUCACUGUAUUCCUUUAAAUUGAAAAUGCAUUUCUGGAAUUUUUAAUUUUUCCUUUAAAUAUAAUUGCUCUCUCAUUUUUUCUAUCUCCUUCUCAGCCUCCUAGAAGUUUGCAGCAGUCUACCCUCCAUACCAUCUCUUACAUCUAUCUCUUUACCCCCUCUGUGCUACAGUCUGGUAAUUUCCUUAGAUCUUCCAAUUCACUGAAUUUUCUGAGUCUAGUCCACUGUUUAACUGAACCUAGUUGUUAAUUUUGUUGAAUGGGACUCUUUCACAAUGCAGCUAGUAUGAAUUUGACUUCUGUGUUCACAUGCAGCAAAGAUUCUUGUUAGUGACUUUGUUUCCACCCAUGGCCUGGGAGGGAAAUCUUGCUUUCCUGCUGUGACCCUGAACUAGAGAUACCAAGUUUUCAGUCCUCCUACUGGGACAGAACUUUGCCCAUUCUAAGCAUACCCCAUCUCUACUUCUUACUAUCCAUUAUACCUGCAGCCUCAAUUCCUAACAUCUCUCUGCCCUGGCAUCUUUGGAACGCCAGUUCCUAAGACACAUCCAGUCCAGCCACCUCCAUUGGCCUUGCAGUGUCAGGUCCUUUGGGUUCCCUCUUCAUUUCUGCCACCUGGAGUUUUCCUCUUCUUCCUUGAACCUUUUUUUUUUUUUUUAAAUGGGGGGAAGAGAAGGUUUGCACUUGCAUACCCAUGUCUUUGGAGCAGGGAUAGCAGCUAUUCCCAUGUGUGUUCAUUCUGUGUCCAAAAAGAAUUGAGCACCAUUGGUAGUGUUCAUUCCAACUUCCUACUCAUACACACCCUGUGAGGCAAAUGGCAUCAUCUCCACUUUACUGGAGAUGAGAGUUAUUCACCCUUAGUCACUAAAGGUAGUCAGGAGCAGACUUAGAAUUGAAACUCAUUGCUGUGUUACUUAACCACUACUUUAUCUGCUUCACUGUAUUGACUAUUAACUCCAGUAUUUUUAUAUUACAUCCUUUUGCUCUCCAGGUUUGGACACUAAAGAGAACCUGUGUGUAAGCUGACUGAAUUUCAUCUGAAAAUGUCUCAGUGGUUGUUGCAUGGCACUUGUUUCUUCUUAGAGACUCUUCUCAUUUUCAUAUAAAAACCUUGGACUUCAUUCCUAAAUGCAACUAGUUUCUGGGAAAUAAUGAAGUUGUGUAAGGAUGGUACUGAGGCUGUAAGUUGUGUAAGGAUGGUCUUUCAGCCUCUUGUCUCCAAACUGCCUGUUGCUCCUCAGGAGAAUUAGACCCCAGUCUGACAGCACUUCUGUGAAUGGCAGGCACUGUCCCAGGCUAAAGGCAGUCUUUCUGACAAAAUACAGAAAUAGUGCUGACUCUCCCCCGCUCCCCCCCACAACAUGGCUAGCACCACACACUAUACUCACUCCUUUGCUAUUUGCGAGUUUAUUUAACAGCCUACCCAACUGUCUCCUUCCAUGGAAAGUAUUUUCUUCAUUGUCUUUUGGAAUGCAUUUGAAGCCACUUCUCUUAACCAAUAAAAACAGCUAGUUCUUCUAUUUUAGGGAACUUUAAUAUUCUUAUGUAGUUCACGUUGGAUAAAAUGUCUUGAAUGCAAGCAAGUUAUCUUUUUCCACUCUUUAUGCCAGACUUUUAAGAAAGAAUCUGUUUGUAUCUAAUUCUGCUUUGGCUGCUUCCUACUGCAGUGAGUAGCAAUUUUGGAUCAAGUUCCCAGUGGCAGCACUGUUGGGGGAAAUUCUGCAUUUUUGGGGAAUGACUGACAUCACUCCUGGUGCUGUUGGAUUCCACCCUGUUUUCUGGGAAUUUAUGACUGUGGCUCUGACUUAAAACACUUAAAUCUUCUGAAUCUCACCAAAGUUUUCGUUUUGUUUUGUUUUUUUCAAAUGCUCCUCAGACGUGGUUGUGUAGGAAAUUGCAGAUGUCAUACUCCCAACUAUAUAAAAGCUUUUUUACUAGUGAGGUUAAAGUACAAUGCAAUAAGUGGAUCAAAAGCACACUAAAACUCUCUUGCAUUGGUUCUGAAAAUCCUAGACCUCUAUAAGAGAUCCAGACCCACAGAGAGCCAUGGAGGUCCAUUAAAAAAAAUAAUUUGUAGUUGAUUUUUUUUUCAGCCUUCCAUUAUUCAUUGAUUCCCUUGAAUUCAGAAUAAGUUGCAGGCACUGUCCAACCUGCAUUUUAGAACUUAAUUGUAAAAGAAUGAUGGUCAUAACCUGUAGCUUAACGUAAGUAGAAAAUGAAAUCUCUUGAUGAAUUUUGUAAAUAUUUCCUGUAGGAACAAUGAUACAGAGGAAAGAGGUAGAUUUCCAGGCUAGCCUUCAAAGGCCUCUUAAACCAUAGUUAAGCAGCACUGCUUUUACAGAAAACGUAUCUUAGUAACCCUUCCCGGUUCCAGGCACCAGAGACUGCCCCCUCCCCCAGAUUGACCAUGUGUUCCAAAACUUUGAGACAGGCCAUCUGAGAACAGGGAUUGUAGCUUCUUUAAUAUCAGGGACUUAGUCCCCAUUCCCAGGGAGUUAUACAUGAGAGGUGGGGAAGAGACCUGGGAAAACCUCCAGAAGAACAAUGUGUACAAAGGCUCUGAAGUUAGUUGGCCAGGUAAAGCCACAGCCGGGAGGCCCUUCUGAAUGGGGAGGACUAGGAGAUCAAGUAGUGAAUGAAGCAAGUGGUAAGAAUUACACCUGAACAGAACGAAGAGGCAGCAGUAGGAGAGCAUCACUCACCCACACAGGUGCAACAGGGGCCCUGUCUACUGUGGCCACAACCAGCCCCUCGGACUCCCUGGGAAGUUUCCACUAGCUCUGUCCUCAAGGCUUUGCCACUCUCUGGACUCUCAGUUUUCAAUUUCACAGAUAUUCUAACCCUAAGAUAGUCACUCCUCUGUUGCUCACUUCCUUACCUCUGUCCUCAGGUUUGGCUCUUACUUGCUUUCCUCAGUUCAGAAAUCUUGCUGCCUAGUUGACUUCUAAGAAAGACUUCUUGCCCUUCCUCUUCUCUCAGGGCCCUCCCUCCCAUGCGCAUUUCCCUCCUGAUCAUGGGGUCCUCCCUCUACCCUUUUUAUCGAAGGGCCUCCCCACUCUACUGCAUCUGGGCCCUCCUCCCAGCUCUUUCUCACCCAGGGAACGCAGACCCUGUCUCUUCUGCCACCUCCGUGUGCUGCCUGCCCCUCAUUACUGUGCCUCUCCUCUUCGUCUGCUUCCUGCCAGCCUGCCUCCCUCCCAAGUUUGGGCCUCCUCCUGCCUCCACCCCUUCCUUUUGUGAGACUGCUCUCAAGUCAGCUUUUGCACUGUCCCCCUGCCCAUUCUCUCGAUUUCCUCUCCUCUCCCUAAUUUGAGGGAGUCCUUCCCGCCUGCCUACUUGGGCCUCGUGCUCAUGCUCUCGACUCUCUUCUCACCCUGGAGCACUUUUACCCACCUCCCCCACCCUGUCAUCUGACCUUUCUUUCCUGUCAGUCUUUCACCUGUCUUGUCACUGAGCUAAUGAUGAUCUUUCCUCUUCUGCAUCUGAAUCCUUCCCGUCCCUACCAUAGGCCCUUACCACCUCCUCCCCCAUUUCCUUCCUAUUUCUAACCUGCAUCUUUCCCCCAUUUUCAUUUCUCUCUCCCCACUUCCCCAGUUACAAAUCCUUCCCUCCCUUCCUGACCUAAGGACCAAGCCCCAGCCCUCACCCCCAUACCUUUUCUCCUUUUCCCUCCAUCCUGAGCCAGGGCCCCUUUUUUCCCUUUUUGGACCCCAUUUUCAUCCCCUGUGACCUUGACUGUAGGCUCAAAUCCCUCCUCCCCGUUCUUGAUUUCAGAAAUACUCCAACACCUUUCUUCAACCCCAGCCUUUAUUCCUCAUCUUCUUUCUUCCUACCCUAUUUCCCAGGGAUUCUUUAAACCCUUUACAUAUGAGACUGAAAAUAGCCAAAUGCUUAAAGAUGGAAAAUACAUAUACUAACAUCUUCAAACAUGCUUCUCCCUCUUCCUGAUCCCUCUUCCCCACAUCUAGUCAUGGCUGGUUUCAUUUUGUUCAGAUUUUAGGCUGAAAGUCACCUUGUAAGAGAAUCCUUCCUUCCCUGCCAUCUAAUAGAAAGGAGUCCCAAACCCCUAGCCACGUACCAUACUGGUUUUUGUUUUCUAAAGAAUAUUUAAUCCUGUGAAAUCUUUGUGUUUGUCCAUCUAGAAUUGAUGCCCCAUGAAAGAGGCCUUAACUGUUUUGUUCAUCUUGUAUCCUCUGUCACUGAAAUGCUGUGUGUGUGUCCGUGCUUCAUCCUGUCCAAUUCUUUGUGACCCUAUGGACUAUAGAGGCUGGAAGGGGACUGUAGCCCACCAGGUUCCUCUGUCUGGAUUUCCCAGAUAAGAAUACUGGGAUGGGUUGCCAUUGCCUUCUCCAAGGGAUCUUCCAGCUCCAGGGAUCGAACCUGUAUCUCCUGCAUUGCAGGUAGAUUCUUGAUUGCUGAGCCACCAGGGAAGCCAUUUAGAAUGGUACCUGGUACAUAAUGAGUCAGUCUGCUGAAUAAGUUAGUGAUUUCUGAGUGCCAGACACUAUGUCAAGUGCUCACUUUGUCUUGUUUAAUCUUUCCAACAAGGCUGAGGUAAGUAUUUUUAUUAUUGCUAUUUUAUACCUUAAAUAACUGAAAUGAAGAAAAGAUAAGUGAAUUUGUCUGUUUUCUCAAAACAGUUGGCUUAUCUGAGAAUUUAAUGCAAUCUGUAUGAAGUCACAACUCAUGUUCCUUCUACUUUUCUGAUGGUCCAGAGGAAAGGGACUGUUAGGAAGGGAAAGGAAGAUGGAUCUGAAUGCAAGAGACGUGUGGAAGACCUGAAGAGUUGCUGAAACAUGAAGAACAGGAGCCAGCAAAGCAAGGUGGCAGGACAGGUGUUCCAAGUGGAGGACGCCACACAAGCAGAGAUGCAGGUAAACACAUGAGCAGUGAAGACAAACAGUUUACUUCAACCUCUGAAUCACCUGCUUUUGCCCUGAACAUACUCCAGGGAAUACGGACUGAGAAGGAUACAGAUCUUUAUCAUUUAAUUAUUACAUAAGAAAGGAACCAUGGAUCCCAUCACUUCUCUACUGCUUUGGCCAAAAUGAAGAGUUCUACAGACUUUUUAAGUGUGAGAUUAAGUAGACCACUUGCAGAGCAUUCAGUAGAGUGCUCAGACCUUUUAUCCAGAUCACUGUCAUAACAGGUCAAAUAACAGUUGUUUGAGUAAUAAGGAACCAAGUAGUCAGAAUUAAAGCAGAUACUCAGGAACAAUUGGAGAAGAACAUCCGAAGACUUUGCUAUUUCCAUAGUAAAGUUAUUUGUGACAGGCAUGCUAGUUACCUACCUGAAACUCCUUCUCCUUUUCUUCAGUUAACAAACUUCUCAUUUUCUUAGGGGUAGUAACAUGCCCAGGUCAAAGACCUGGGCAUAUCCCCUUGAAGCUCAGAGUGCAACUUGAACCAAGCCUGGCCAGUAAAAGUGCAGAAGUUAUUGGGUGGAACCUCUGGAAAAACAUUCCAGAAGAAGCCAACUUGGAUAGACUCUGUCUUUCGUUUCUCUUCCUUUUCCCUACCUAGAACUGGGUAUCUGAUGCCCGGGUACACAGCAGCCAUCCUAGGACCAUGAGGAUGAAGACUAUAUACAAAGGAGGCAGAAUAGAAAGACUGAAGACUAGCUCUUGACUUACUACCUCUGGACUUACUGUUACAUGAGAAAAAAUAAAUUAUUUGAUUAAACUGCUGUGUUGCUUUUCAGGUAUAUGCAGCCGAACACAAUUUUAACAGGGCUAAAGUGGCAAUCACUGCUAAGACAUACAAACGGGUUCUUUAGCCAAAGACACAACUGAUAAUGCAGCAGUUCUACUGGGCUGGAUAUUCUCAUUACCCUGCAAACCCCUCUGAGCGUAGGGUUAUGAGGGAGUUAAUGCUGAAAAUUGGAUCAAAAAGGCAUUCUUCAAAUUGGAAUGCUUUUAUUAGAAUAUUAAUUGCAGACUUAAAACUACACAUAUGGAAAAAUGAAAACACUCAGAAAUGCUAUUACAAAUUGAGUAAAUUAGUAGGAGGAAAAAGAUUUCUUCAGUGUAUACAAAAUGUAAACAUUUGCCCUGGGGUUUCCCACAGAUGGCACAGUCCACAAGGACUUAUUUGGAAUAAAAAUACCUAUUGGAUCGCCAGUAUAGCCUCUAUAACAUCUUCAAACUUGCUACAUUGAAGUGAAAGUUACUAGCACACUCUGAAUCUUCUAUGCAAAAAAACUAAAUGGUCCCAAUCAAGGCAACUGCUGUGUGUGAAAGCAGAGACACUGAAGCAAAUCAAUCUUCCAGCGAUGACCUUCUACCCACUGUGCUAACUGUAUUUACAUUUACCUUGAGAGAAUAUACACAGUAUAUAAAACCCCUACUUGAGUCUGUGGUGGAAAAUGAAAUACGAGAUGCUCCAAAGCGCAUCAGGUCAGUCACUUGAACUUGGGGAGAGAACACUAAGAAGAGGCCCUCUUCUGUUCAGAAAAUGGGGACUCAUAAACAUCCAUGGGUGGACAGGUGCAAACCAGGUGCUGAUCUCCAUAGAUGUCAUCAAUGCGGGAGAUGGUUGGCCAGAAUUUGUUCUCUGGUUUCACAAAGGGCUGCAGGGGACAAAAGACAGAAAUGACUUGGGAUAUCCUGAGAAGUUUCUUGGAUGGGUGGGGUGGGGAGGAGACUGCAAUGCUGCUCCCACACCUGAGAGAUCACUGGCCCAGAAAGUACUCAAAAAUUAUAAGAAGCUAAAAUCCAGCCUCCUUCGUCACCAUCCCUCCAAAUCUCCCACCCCUGCUCCACCAGACUGCAGAGCAUCUUCACAUAAUUAAAAGGAUGAUGGUAGGAAACACUGACCCACUAGACAGACCCUUAUUUGGUCUUCCUGCACUGUGCGCAGGUUGGCACUGUGUGGUUGCCACCCUGACCUCAGAACUUGGAAAGCCAAUUCCUGUGUUGUGUCGUUCUGCGAAGGUAGCCUACAUAUGGUCACUACAGUGAGGAGGCGGCAAGAGCGGAGCCCUCAGAGUGGGUGAUGGCCCCUCAUACGCACGUGAACCUGGACCAGCUGGCACGUCCAGCUUCAGAGGAGCACUUACAAGCGGGAAUGCUGCCACCUCUCUGGAAUACGGCCGAUCCCAGUGGGAGGAUGUGACGCAGGUCAAGGAGUGUGGAGACAUCUGAGACAGAGACAAUGGACAGGAGAGGGGUCAGAGCAGAUGCCUGCCUUCCCCUCUGUUCAUCACAUCUGCCAGUGAGCUGAUGAAAGCCCACGGAUGGAGGGUGGUGGUUUUGUUUCAGUUUGUGGGGAAGGGAAUUUUGUUAGGAAAAUGUUUAUUGUGAAAUAUUUCGAAUAUCAGAAAGUUACAAUAACAUAAUAGCACAUUUACCACCCAACAGAAAUCAACAUUUUGUCAUGUUUGCUUAAGCUUUUAAAAUAAGAAACAUUACAGAUACUGUUGACCAUGCCAGCCUAUCCCCUCUCCAUCUUACUGCUGGUCCUCUUCACCAGUGCCAGCCACUAUCUUGAAUUUUGUUGUCAUGAUUCUCAUAUUUUUAUACUAUUACUGUAUAUAUUAAUAAACUGCAUAGAGCUUAGUUUGGUACACUUUUAAACCUUAUAGUAUCCUGUGUGUGUUUUAUCCUCCACUUGCUUUUGUAUCUCAGUAUUAUAUUUUUUAGACAUCUAUUGCCAUUUUUUAAAAAAAUUGUCUAAAUCCUGAAAGAAUCAUCAGUAUCCAGAGAAAAAAACAAUGAGAGCAAAUCAUAUUAGAUUCCUCCACUAUCCUAGGAGACUCGCACGGGACCAGCCUUUUCCUGCCAGUCAUUGGCCCCGGUGCUUCAGCGGGGCAGCUCUGGACUGAGCUCCUCUGUGCAUCUCAGACUGCUUCUCUGGCUUGGAGCCGUACGACACAACCACAGCCUUUGCGGUAGUUUCAGUUCACAAUCCCUCAGCUUAACAGUGGCUGGACCUAAUACAGAACUCUUAGGGCUCUGACCAGAUAUAAAAGGAACAUAGUUUUGAAGAGGCGAAGCAAUGUUGAACAAAUUUUUCUCCAAAGUAGGCCGUAAACAUGGUAAAAUAUUCAGGCCAAGUACCAGUCUGGUUGUUCUAAGAGGUAACUAUUCCAAUAUGAGAAUAUCUUUAUCCAGAGUGUAAAAGGUAAAUAAUCUCAGUAGAGAGCAUCAGAGAUACAGAAUGGUAAGACUUCUCUAGCUAUAAAGUCCAUCAGUCUCUGCUCCCUCCUUUGACAGCCAACUGGGUCCUUGUGGGGUGAACAGCACCAAACAGAUAUAUAAAACCAACAAGUGACCACUAAAUAGAUAUUUAAAAUUAGAACAUAUCAGAAAUAACCACAUUAUACUUGAGUAACCACUGCUGUGUUGAUUCAAGAUUUAAACUUUCAGGUAAUGAAUUUAUCCUCUCAGAAGAACAGUCUUAUUCUAGGCAAGGAUGUCAUCUUCCAGUCGAGUUCAGAGGUUGCCAGCACCCCACCCAGACACUGCUUUCUGCUCUCUGGGAUAUUUUAGAUAAAGAACCAGCGCCUGUGUACCUUCAGUGGGUUGACCCUGGGGUCGAUGCGGCCCUCCUCAAUGUCGGCAAUUUCCUGUCGGAUGCUGAUCAUGGCGUCGCAGAAUCUGUCCAGCUCCGCCUUGUCUUCCGACUCGGUGGGCUCAAUCAUGAGAGUGCCUGCCACCGGCCAGGACAUGGUGGGGGCAUGAAAUCCUGCCAAGGAGAUGGGGGAAUUUGUGUCACUUAACUUUGACCUCCCCAGUUUGGAAGAAGAGACCCUCCCCUUCUUAAAAUGUAUUCCAAGGAAAACAAUCUGAAAAAUUUGCUAUUGUAUAUGUCUAGGGAUUCACUUCAGCACUGUUUAUGGAAGAAAAGCUUAGGAAAUAACAUGACAUCCAACAGCAGAGGAUCAGGUAGGCAAAUCUUCCUGGGUAUCCAUACAAUAAAUAUGCAACCAUUCCAUGUAUUUAAAUUUAUAUUUGUUAAUGGCUCUGAACGUUUACCCAAUUUAAGUGAAAAGGGCAGGCUACAUAACGAUAUUGUCUUAUUUUUAAAAUGACAGUAUAUUAUAUAUGCAUAUAUAUAUAUACACACACACAUACAUUUGCAUGUGUGUAUAUAUACAUACUUUAUAUAUAUGUGUAUAUUUUAUGAAGGAAGCUGUUUCAAAGAAGAAUAAAUACUAAAAUUUAAACAGAAUUAUUGGCAUAAAAUGAGACUAGGGUUUUUAUUUUACCUUGUGUUUUAGAAUCUUUUUAUAAUGUUCAUGUAUUACUUGCAAUUAAGAGAAAUUAAAAUAUUGUAGCCUACCAAAAGCUAAAUAAUGAGGUAACAAGCAUUAAGGACCCUGAUGUGAGUGUUACUGUCCUUAUUUUACAGAUGAGGAAACUGAGUCUUGGCCAGGAUGUAUAAAGUCUUUGUCUUUACACUGAAUACAGGCUGAAGGUAUUUCUAUGUUUCCAAAAGUUUUCACAUAUUAAGAUGAAUUUAUAAAAUAUGAUUGAGAGAGAGAUUUCCUGGACAAAAGCCAAAAAGAACUUUUCCCCAAUUCUUACAAUUUUUCCGGUGAAACUUUAAAAGAUGAAGAACAGCCUCUAGGUUGAUAUUCCUGUCAACUAAGUUUGCCCUGGAGGUCAAUGGUUCCCAAAUUCUGGUGUGCAUCAUUACAUGGGGUGCUUUAGAGUCAUGCCUGCAUUGUUUAAAGGAUUGUCUUCUCAACAUUUUAUUAUAACAUUUUUCAAAUAUACUGGUAAGUUGAAAGGACUAUAGAGUGAACACCCAUACACCUACAUGGCUUCUACAAUGAUGCUCUGUUUGCUUUAUCAUGUAUCUAGUCAUCUAUUCCUAUCACAUAUCAGCUGGCAAAGAAUCCACCUGCAGUGUGGGAGACGGGUUCAAUCCCUGGGUUGGGAAGAUCCCCUGGAGGAGGGCAUGGCAACCCACUCCAGUAUUCUUGCCUGGAGAACCCCCAUGGACAGAGUCACCUGAUGGGCUACAGUCCAUGGGGUCACAAAGUGUCAGACAUGACUGAGUGACUAAGCACAGUCAUCUACUCCUAUCACAUAUCUAAGGCAUUUGCCUUAUUUUUGAUGCAUUUUCAAGCAUGUUACAGUCAUUUAUACCCUUCCCCCUUUAGCAUGCAUAUCAUUAACUAGAGUUCCAUAUCUGAAUUCAAUAUCUGUUUCCAUAUUUUUGUGAUAGUUUGCACAAAUUUUAAGUACCAUUUAAUUUUGACAAAUGCAUAUAACUGUGUCACCCAAAUCAGAAAGAGUCUUCUUUUUAAACAAGCUGAUCUCAUUACCCAUUAAGUCCAACCUCAAUUCCACGAGUGAACAAAUUCAGCCCAAUAUUUUCUACAAUAGUGGUUCCCAUAUCUGGAACCAUCUGAGUUGUCAUGGAAACACAGAUUCCUGGAUUUUGACUCUGAUUCAGGAAAUCCAAGGUAUGAGCCUUUAAAAACUCAGAAUCAGGUUAAUCACAGCACUGUUAAUCAACUAUACUCCAAUAUAAAAAUUCUUAAAAGUUAAAAAAACAAAGUUAAGUUUGGAAAUCUCUGCCCUCUGGCAGGGUGCCCUUCACACAACCUGAUAAGAUUCAUCCAUGAAGUACUUGUAAAUACAGAUCACUGUGCCUCAUCCCUGGAAUUCUGAUUCAGUAAGUGUGAUGAAGACCCAGAAUCUGUGUUGUCAUCUUCAUUGUUCGUUUGUUUCUAGAGCCAUUCACUUAUUCUCUCACUUGUUAAACACAAUUGUUGGGUGCUUCCUAUGUGCCAGACACCUAGACCAUCCUGAGCCUAUGGCAAGUGUAGCCAUCACUCUAUUAAACAUCAAAAUAUCAAGGAUGUAGACAGAACCGAAUUUGGGAAUACUGGGCAGUAACUCCAAAUACCACUUCUCUUCUACCCCAUCCCCCGCCUCCCUCCCUGCAAAUGCUGCUGCAGUCGGAUGUGGGAAACAGACCACACACCCCAGAAAUGAAGCCUCAGCCUGAAUCAGUUACUAGUCGGGAGGUUAAGUCAGGUCACAGGAGUGGUCAAGAGGAGAUUCUUAAGCAACUGCUAAUUUCAUUAAUGAAAACCAUCUUUGGUUCUCCCAUUUAUUAUCAGGGUAACUCUGCAUAAUAAGAUCAUUCAUUCAUGGGAGGAAAUGAGUCACUAUGUGACUAUGUGGGACUCCUGUUAUGGUAGUAAAACUAUAAAAUUAUUAAAGUUUUCACAUUCCUUAUUAAAAGAAGUCAUUCAAAUCAUCUUAAAAUUCAGAUAAGACUCCACAUUCAUCAAAAGGCAAAGUUCUCCCCAACUUAGCCUUCCUGAGAAAUGAAGAGUCUUUGGUGUUAUUAAUGUCACUAAGAAAACGUAUUUUAAUAAAGCCUGUGCUGAGUGAACGUCCACUAACAAUACACAGAUUAAAAAAAAAAAGCUUCAAAGAAAACUGCAUCAUCUCUGUGAAAACAAGGUGCACCUAUUCCUUCAUCUCCAGCAGCAGCUGAAACAGUUAUGCCACAGCUGAGGGGGCUCAAUGGCCAUGAAUCUCAAAUGCCAUUCCUCCAAUACUCCUACACGUUGUAGGCUCUCCACUGCCUCUACCAUCACAGCAACUUACCUCUUCAUGGCCCUCUCUGUCUAUUUGGAGUGGGAUAGGUCAAAUAAUUUACCAGAAACAUGGACAGAAGACAGCAGUCAUUUUCUUUGGGAUUUUAAAUUUUGUUAACAACAAAGACUCCUUUCCUAGCUGUUGAUGGAUUCAAGAUACGUGAUUUAAUAUCUUUCAAAGGACAGAAUCUGUGGGGCCAUAGGGCCAUAGUUUUUUUUUUUACCCACAGUCUACGGCUCGCCAUUUAGCCUAUGGAUCAGUUUACUGUGGUGCAAACACAUUCAGUCUGUGGUCCAUAACCAGGAUGGGCAGCUGCAUAAAUGUCAGAAACCCAAGUUCUCCUUAAGGGGGGUCUUUCCUGUGAGACCACUCACCAUAAUCUUGAAGCCUCUUGGCCACAUCCACGGCCUCAAUAUUUGCAGACUUUUUGAAGGGUCUUGUAUCCAAAAUAAAUUCAUGAGCCACAUAUCCUGUUGAGAAAAAUUAUUUCCAUUCACGAUUAACAUCAGCUUGUUGUUUUACCCAAGAAAAUGAACAAAUAAAUCAGCUUUUUAAUGCAUAUCAUUGAGGACCAAGGAACAAUGGGUACUUGGUAAGUUAUAGUUGACAAUAAAGCCUUCAUCUGCUCUUAUUACAUAUAAAAACUGUUAACAUGUCAUGCCAAUUUGUUCCAUCCUCAGUGUUCUACACACCCAUGAACCAGGAAGCGGGUGGCAGGCAGGACAGGAACUGGAAGGCUUACUAAGGUCCCUGGGGAUGAGACCACUUUUACUCAAAAGACCAAAUAUCUACUUGCAACAGUUUAACAUGUCAUCAUGCCUGGUCCUUAUUCAAAAUUUUAUUUUAUAUAUAUAUAUUUUAUUUUAUAUAAAAUAUUUCUAGUGUUAAAACUCCAUUGAUAGAUUUUUCAACAAGUUUGCUACCAAUAUCCAAUUAAUGGUUUCUUCCAUGGGCAGGUAAAUGUAUAUUAAAUGUAUAUGUA